rnacentral:tRNA from 1 species
CCCAAAGUGGUGUAAUUGGAAACACGCCAAGGUGACAAUUAGGCUCCUCGCUGAGGACUUAAUCCCUUCGGGGGCGGAGGAGUCCCAGGUUCGAUCCCUGGCUUUGGGA